rnacentral:rRNA from 1 species
GACGAACGCUGGCGGCGUGCUUAACACAUGCAAGUCGAACGGAAAGGCCCUGCUUUUGUGGGGUGCUCGAGUGGCGAACGGGUGAGUAACACGUGAGUAACCUGCCCUUGACUUUGGGAUAACUUCAGGAAACUGGGGCUAAUACCGGAUAGGAGCUCCUGCUGCAUGGUGGGGGUUGGAAAGUUUCGGCGGUUGGGGAUGGACUCGCGGCUUAUCAGCUUGUUGGUGGGGUAGUGGCUUACCAAGGCUUUGACGGGUAGCCGGCCUGAGAGGGUGACCGGCGACAUUGGGACUGAGAUGCGGCCCAGACUCCUACGGGAGGCAGCAGUGGGGAAUAUUGCACAAUGGGCGGAAGCCUGAUGCAGCAACGCCGCGUGCGGGAUGACGGCCUUCGGGUUGUAAACCGCUUUCGCCUGUGACGAAGCGUGAGUGACGGUAAUGGGUAAAGAAGCACCGGCUAACUACGUG